rnacentral:rRNA from 1 species
ACGGCUCAGUAACACGUGGACAACCUACCCUCCGGACGGGUAUAAACCCGGGAAACUGGGUAUAAUCCCCGAUAGAUCUCGGUCGCUGGAAAGCCCCGAGAUCGAAAGCUCCGGCGCCAGAGGAUGGGUCUGCGGCCUAUCAGGUAGUAGUGGGUGUAGCGUACCUACUAGCCUACGACGGGUACGGGUUGUGAGAGCAAGAGCCCGGAGAUGGAUUCUGAGACACGAAUCCAGGCCCUACGGGGUGCAGCAGGCGCGAAAACUUUACAAUGCCGGCAACGGCGAUAAGGGGACCUCGAGUGCCAGGUUACAAAUCUGGCUGUCGUGAUGCCUAAAAAGCAUUGCAUAGCAAGGGCCGGGCAAGACCGGUGCCAGCCGCCGCGGUAACACCGGCGGCUCGAGUGGUAACCGUUAUUAUUGGGUCUAAAGGGUCUGUAGCCGGCCAGGUAAGUCUCUUGAGAAAUCCAGCAGCUCAACUGUUGGGCUUUCAGGAGAUACUGUCUGGCUCGAGGCCGGGAGAGGUGAGAGGUACUUCAGGGGUAGGGGUGAAAUCUUGUAAUCCUUGAAGGACCACCAGUGGCGAAGGCGUCUCACCAGAACGGACCUGACGGCAAGGGACGAAAGCUAGGGGCACGAACCGGAUUAGAUACCCGGGUAGUCCUAGCCGUAAACGAUACUCGCUAGGUGUCGGCCACGGUGCGACCGUUGUCGGUGCCGUANGGAAGCCGUGAAGCGAGCCACCUGGGAAGUACGGCCGCAAGGCUGAAACUUAAAGGAAUUGGCGGGGGAGCAC